rnacentral:rRNA from 1 species
UACAGAGGGUGCAAGCGUUAAUCGGGAUUACUGGGCGUAAAGCGUGCGUAGACGGUUGCGUAAGUCAGAUGUGAAAGCCCCGGGCUCAACCUGGGAAUUGCAUUUGAGACUGCGUAGCUAGGGUGCGGAAGAGGGAAGCGGAAUUUCCGGUGUAGCGGUGAAAUGCGUAGAUAUCGGAAGGAACACCAGUGGCGAAAGCGGCUUCCUGGUCCAGCACCGACGUUCAGGCACGAAAGCGUGGGGAGCAAACAGG